rnacentral:misc_RNA from 1 species
CUUUCAAAUUAUCUGUGUGCCAGAUACACUUUGAAGAUCUGUUUUCAAAGGGUUGAUUCGCUAUGGGGUCGGUCAUAACAAUUCCAUUCACGUUUGCUUUGGGAUUAAUUUCAGUGACCCCGUCAGAUUUCUUCUAUUGGUGCAAAUGGAUCCUCUCCUACAUUUAUAUUGAAGUCAACAAAAGAUUUACAACCAGGAGAUUUGAUCUUUAUGAUAAAGAUGCACUGGACGAUGCAGCGAAGCUGGGAUUUAUUGUGCCAGCAGAGGAAUACGUUUAUGAAGCUCCUUACGAUGAAGCUCAUCUACGAAAAGCAGAAGACGAAAUAAUUUGCUAUGGAGUGAACUCUAAACCGGAGCGUCUUCUGGUCAAUAUUUCAAGGCGCAGCGAUCAGAAAGCAGAUGCUUGCGUUUACCUGAAAUUAGAAUCUGGCAAAACGUACCGUUUGCAAAAGACUGGACAUUUUCAACAGUCUUCAACUGAUAAGACUGUCUUUUCCUGUGGAGAUCUCCAAAUAUCCUAUACGUGUCCCAUGAGGCGAUGGCGAAUAUUUUACAGCGGGUAUUUGAGGGAGACGACCGAAAAUGAUGAAAAGGGACGUAUGGUAUACGUAAAAUUUGCAUUAAGGUGGCGGGCUUCUUCGGAUGUCUUUGACGCCACAUCGGAUUUAAACUCAUACGCACUUGCUGAUGCUGUUGCUAAAGCCAACUGGAAAUCAGCGUAUCCUCCGCUAGACAAGCUCAAAAAUGCAUUGAAUUUUUACAUACAGUCAGGUGUUAUACACGGAACUGUAGAAGUGGAAGGAGAACCAGAACAUGAGAUCUAUUUAUUUGGCCAGAGACUCAGAAAUUUAGGUGAUGUUUCAAGCAUAAAAGAGGCUGAAAUUGAACAUAUGAUGGGCUACGUCUAUCAGCAUGGAGCUUUCGUUUAUAUGGGCAAAGCUACGAUAAAAAACGUUGUAAAAGAUUUAUGCUUUGGAUUCGCCAUUCAAGCGGAUACAGCUCUUAAAAUACUGGAAAAGAUAACUAUAACAAUUAUAGAUUCAAAAGAUUUGAAAUUUAUGCUUUCUACAUUUUGGAAGGGUCGGAAUUAUAAGCUCAGCGGAUCACUGACUAGUCCUUUGUUGCAAUAUAGUAAUAAAGGAGGAGAAAUAGGAACUUCAGUUAGGAAAUACGGUUUUUAUGUAAAUGGCAAGAGAGGAAGUGGUUUCUACUUAGGAAGGAAACUUUCAGAUUCUCUGAAGCACAAAACUCCAAAAAUUAUAGCACCCGAAGCUCCAAUACCAGUGUCGCCAUUAGCGGUCCCCUUUACGAAUGAAAUAUGUCAACUGUCAGAUGUGACGGGAGGGAAAGGAUCCUCACUAGGAAAACUGACAAAGUUAAGCAAGAAUCUCCGGACAUUUAUCGUGCCUAGUGGAAUAGUUGUCACUACUUCAGCUUACAAAAAUUUCGUCACCAAAGGAAUUCUUGCAAAGAUAAAACUUUUGGAAGACGUUGUGUACAGUGGAAAUUCAGCAGAAGAUGUCAAAGAAGUAUGUCAAAAUGUCUGCGAAGAAGUUGAAAGAACAGUAUUUCCCAAAGGAAUACGAGAAGCCAUAGAAAUAUCGCUGAGAAAAACCUUUGGAGGACAAUAUCAGUCUAAAAAAUUUGCCGUUCGAUCUUCAGCCACUGGUGAAGAUACUGAACAGAUGUCUGCCGCUGGUCAGAUGGACACAUUAUUAGGCAUCUCAGGAAUGAAUGAAAUUUUGCAAGCCGUAAAGAAGUGCUGGGCUUCCCAAUUUGGAUUCGUUGCAAUACAGUAUAAAAGGCGUUAUGGUCAGUGUUUGAAUUCCCCCAUGGCUGUGGUCAUUCAGGAGAUGGUGCCUUGUGAUGUUGCUGGUGUGCUAUUUACCUGCGAUCCUGUGACAGGAAAUCCAACAGUCAUGACUAUAACUGCCAACUAUGGUUUAGGAGAGAGUGUCGUGUCAGGAUCAGAAGAGCCAGAUACAAUUGAACUACAAAGGGAUCCCGAAGAUCAACUUACUCUAAAGAGUACAACAAUCGGAGCGAAAAGCAGGAAGAUCAUUGCGAAAGAUGUAGAAGGUAUUACAUUGGAAGAAGUUCCGGAAAAUGAGAAAGGAAAUUGUUGUUUAUCAGUAGAAAUGAUAAUGCGACUGGGCCAGCUUGGGAUUGAAGUUGAAAACUAUUAUCGCUCCCACAGGGACAUUGAAUGGGGCUUCUGGAACAACAACCUUUACCUCUUUCAGUCCCGUCCAGUUACUAGUGGCACAAAUGAAACAAUAUUCGAAAUAGAGCAUGAACUGGAUGGUCCUCUUAGACUAGAAAAUGAUUAUUUAACAGUCUCACACAUAGCGGAGGUAAUGCCAGGAGCAACUACGCCUUUAGGAAUGGAGACCUUUUUCAAGAUAUUUGAUAUUGGAUUUCUGGAAGAACAAACAGAGUGGCUGUUUCCUUCUGGGUGCCCGUAUUUCCGUUGCUCUUGGGAGACUUUCUAUAAUCACUUCAUGUUUAGAAUGACAGAUGUUUUCCGUGGGCAACAUUCGGAUAACAUCGAUUACUUCUCUCAAGCAACUAUGAUAGCAUUUUUCGGCAGAAUACUCAGCGAUGAAGAAUUAUUUCAAGUGUGCAGAGACCGGUUCAGAGACUUCAAAAAAGAAGCUUCUCUGACUGAAAUGGCGAAACUCGUGUUGAAUGCUGGUAAAAGAAUUCGGAAGAUGGAGAAAACUUAUGCUAACUACCGAAUUCCAUACGAGAAACAUAAAACAUCGAAAGAACUCUAUGAUUACCUCAUGCGCUCUUGCUCCCAGCUGUGCGAUGUUUUCGUCGGGCACGUGAAGGUUUCUCAAGCAUCGACGUUGUGGAAUAUGUUCAUUUUUACGGUCCUCGGGAAAGCAAAAAAAGGAUUUGACGAUGAUGUUUACAGAGAUUUUUCUUCUCUCAUGACCACCAGCAGCGAUGUGAUAAGUGCUGAUGUACCCGCAGCUAUUCAGAGCCUUGCUUACUACCUCUCCGAGGCUAUCAGUGCAGAAGAAUUCAAGAAAAUGAGCGUUGAAGAGGCGUUAAAUUGGCUACAAAGAACGCCAGCAACAGUUGGUAAAAAAUUUAAGCAGUUUACGGAGACACAUGGACAUAGAUGCUUGCGAGAAUUCGAUGUAUAUUCAUUACCAUGGGGGACUGAUCCAAAGCCAUUAAUUAAAUUGCUACAGAAUCUGGCUGGAAGUGUAUCUCAGGACGCCGCGAAGAAUUUGGAUAAUUCUAACGAAAGAUUGUCUAAACUGUCUGUGUCUCUUGGAUUGUUUUCCAGAUUAAUUUUAAAGUUUUUGUUGCCAUACAGUCGGCAAGGUGUGCAAAGACGGGAAAAGACUAAGUCAAUGAUGAUAAAAGGACUCGACGAAUGGAGGAAAGGGCUUAGAUACCUUGCAAGACUUAUGGUUUCCGAAGGACGCAUUCCGGAAGAAGAUCUUUUAUUUUUCAUGACUUAUGAAGAAAUUCAAGAAUUACUGAACACGAGAUCACCGAAAAUAAUAGCCAGGGCAGUUCAAAGACAAAGACGUUACCCAAUCAUGGACAAGUACAUAUUUCCUGAAAUUAUAAAAGGUGUACCAAAGCCAGUAUUCCCAUUUGUCAAGGCAUAGCGGAAGGUUUCGUUCGUGUUGCUCUUAUAUUAGAAGAAGCAGCGCAGUUAAAGCCGAAAGAAAUUAUGUUGACAUACAGUACGGAUAUAGGCUGGACGCCUUACUUCCCAACGCUGGCUGGAGUUGUUACGGAAUUGGGAGGACUCAUUUCUCACG